GAACGGACGAAUUGGAGAGAGACUUCGGGUAAUCGAAGACAAGUAAGUGGCGGACGGGUGAGUAACGCGUGGAUAACCUACCAUUAUGCCUGGGAUACUCUGGGAAACCGGAGCUAAUACUGGAUAAACUUACAGGAUGGCAUCAUCCAAUAAGCAAAGGAGGCCUCUGACAUAAGCUCCCGCAUAAAGAUGGAUCCGCGUCCCAUUAGCUAGUUGGUAAGGUAGUGGCUUACCAAGGCGACGAUGGGUAGCCGGCCUGAGAGGGUGACCGGCCACACUGGGACUGAGACACGGCCCAUACUCCUACGGGAGGCAGCAGUGGGGAAUAUUGCGCAAUGGGGGAAACCCUGACUCAGCAACGCCGCGUGAGUGAAGAAUGCCUUCGGGUCGUAAAACUCUGUCGUUGGAGAAGAAGUCUUGUAUCUUAAUAGGAUAUAAUGUGACGGUACCCAAGAAGGAAGCCACGGCUAACUACGUGCCAUCAGCCGCGGUAAU
rnacentral:rRNA from 1 species